rnacentral:rRNA from 1 species
GACGAACGCUGGCGGCGUGCUUAACACAUGCAAGUCGAACGGAAAGGCCUGCUUUCCCUUGUGGAUUGCGGGUACUCGAGUGGCGAACGGGUGAGUAACACGUGAGUGAUCUGCCCCCAACUUGGGUAUAAGCCUGGGAAACUGGGUCUAAUUCCCGAUAGGACUGCAGGGUGGUGCCUGUGGUGGAAAACGAUUUUCUAGUGGUUGGGGAUGAGCUCGCGGCCUAUCAGCGUGUUGGUGGGGUAAUGGCCUACCAAGGCGGCGACGGGUAGCCGGCCUGAGAGGGAGGACGGCCACAUUGGGACUGAGAUACGGCCCAGACUCCUACGGGAGGCAGCAGUGGGGAAUAUGGCACAAUGGGCGGAAGCCUGAUGCAGCGACGCCGCGUGGGGGAUGACGGCCUUCGGGUUGUAAACUCCUUUCGACCGCGAGGAAGCCACCUGGUUGGAAGGGUGGUGACGGUAGUGGUAGAAGAAGCACCGGCUAACUACGUG